rnacentral:rRNA from 1 species
CCGCAACGAGCGCAACCCUCACCCCUAGUUGCCACCGGGUAAAGCCGAGCACUCGAGGGGAACUGCCAGCGUCAAGCUGGAGGAAGGCGGGGAUGACGUCAAGUCAUCAUGCCCCUUACGCCCUGGGCUACACACGUGCUACAAUGGCCAGUACAGAGAGAUGCGAGACCGCGAGGUGGAGCCAAUCCCAAAAAGCUGGCCUAAGUUCAGAUUGCAGUCUGCAACUCGACUGCAUGAAGUAGGAAUCGCUAGUAAUCGCGCAUCAGCACGGCGCGGUGAAUACGUUCCCGGGCCUUGUACACACCGCCCGUCACACCACGAAAGCUGACUGUACUCGAAGUCGCUGAGCCAACCCGCAAGGGAGGCAGGUGCCGAAGGUAUGGUGAGUGAUUGGGGUGAAGUCGUAACAAGGUAGCCGUACGGGAACGUGCGGCUGGAUCACCUCCUUUCUAAGGAG